CCCGUGGCUGGUGGAGCAGGCGCCGUUGCUGGCGGCCGCCCGGCCCGAACGGUUCACCGCGCCGGUCAUCGGCUGAUCGCUCAGGCGUCGCGAGCCC
rnacentral:tRNA from 1 species